rnacentral:misc_RNA from 1 species
UCCGGUUUGUCACCGGCAGUCUCCUUAGAGUUCCCACCAUUACGUGCUGGCAACUAAGGACAAGGGUUGCGCUCGUUGCGGGACUUAACCCAACAUCUCACGACACGAGCUGACGACAGCCAUGCAGCACCUGUGUUCGCAUUCCCGAAGGCACUCCCGCAUCUCUGCAGGAUUCGCGACAUGUCAAGGCCAGGUAAGGUUCUUCGCGUUGCAUCGAAUUAAACCACAUACUCCACCGCUUGUGCGGGCCCCCGUCAAUUCCUUUGAGUUUCAGUCUUGCGACCGUACUCCCCAGGCGGCGAACUUAACGCGUUAGCUUCGACACUGAUCUCCGAGUUGAGACCAACGUCCAGUUCGCAUCGUUUAGGGCGUGGACUAC